GCUGAAGUACCAAACAAAACUUUCCAGGAGGAUCAAUUAAAGAAUCUUAAAGGAGAUAAAUGACACAGGCUGCCAUUUGUGUACCACUUCUGGACUCACCACUAUGGAAAGACAUUUACCCAGCAAAGAGAAGUCUAUUACAAAGUUGUGUGAGAGAGAGCACAAUACCAUCCCUGCUAGUAGUGCAACAGCAGUGGCAGCUAUAAUCAUUGUGGUGAGCUGGAAUUCAGAUUUCCCUGAGUUUUAUCCCCCAAUCCUGCUAUAAGCCUACAAACAAGUGCCUUUUCUGUCUGUAUUUCAGAUUUUGCCAUUUACAAGACAGUGACUAAAACAGUGAGCGACCCUGUGGAGCAGCUGACUCAGGAGGGAGAGAGACUUGGGAGACUGAGGGUUCCCAGGCUAGGCCAGAAUACUGUAGCACCUUUCACUUCAUCUACAUUUACGGAGCAGAGGGAAGAGUAAUGUGAAGCUCUUCGGAGGAUAUUGUGGUGAGACAGAAACUCCUUUACCUACCAACUCCUUACAAAGCAGCCACACUGACCACAUGCAGGCAACUUUAAAAGAGAAGAUGCUGGCUGGAUGCAUCAGUCACAGGAAGAGACAGAGGAAUCAGGCUCCCUGCCACCAACCUCAAACUUCAGCAAGCGGGAUGUGGGAAAAACCAAAUGCCAGCUGCAGCCAAGUUAAACUGCAAAAGACCUUCAUUCCUGAGGAAUUUUUGAAUUAAAUGCUGGAUAGAGCCUGCCAGAUUCUAUUGGAAAUGACUGUCAACUGGUUUUAAAUAACAGUCUUUCAUGUUUAUGUUUUUAUGUUACUUUCCAUUGUUUGUUGAUUUCCCUUCAGACAGUUGGACAUUUCAAUCUUUCACUAAGCACUGUUUUGUUCCUUCUUAUUUGGCAGACAGAUACUUAGUUAUUGUAUCAGUCCAGCUUGAAACAAAAUGGCUGUUUGGUAAGCUGCUAGUGAACUGGUGCUGUAGGGUCAGCAGGGGGAGCUCACAACUAGACUUUUUAUAGGUCCUGCAGAAACCCUGCUUGUUUCUGUUAAUGGUUGUUCAGUGCAUCUCCACUUGAUAUUGCCUGCUGGAUUACUAUGGGUCCUACUGCACUUCAUAUGAAACAGCCUGGGCCUAUUUGAAAUGAACUCUUCAUGCAUUUUUUACCUUUACUCUUUGCUAAAUCACCUGCUAAUUGUGCAGCUUCCCAUGUGCAGCAUUUUCCACCGCGUCCAAAAUAUCUUUUUGUAAUUCCAUGUCA